AACGAACGCUGGCGGCAUGCCUAACACAUGCAAGUCGAACGAGACCUUCGGGUCUAGUGGCGCACGGGUGCGUAACGCGUGGGAACCUGCCCUUAGGUUCGGAAUAACUCCCCGAAAGGGGUGCUAAUACCGGUUAAUGUCUUCGGCCCAAAGAUUUAUCGCCUUUGGAUGGGCCCGCGUUGGAUUAGCUAGUUGGUAGGGUAAAAGCCUACCAAGGCGACGAUCCAUAGCUGGUCUGAGAGGAUGAUCAGCCACACUGGGACUGAGACACGGCCCAGACUCCUACGGGAGGCAGCAGUGGGGAAUAUUGGACAAUGGGCGAAAGCCUGAUCCAGCAAUGCCGCGUGAGUGAUGAAGGCCUUAGGGUUGUAAAGCUCUUUUACCCGGGAUGAUAAUGACAGUACCGGGAGAAUAAGCUCCGGCUAACUCCGUG
rnacentral:rRNA from 1 species